CGGCCCCCGUAGAACACCACAAGACCCGCAAAGAGAAUCGGCGGUCAGGCCAUGCAUUUGGGAGAUGGUUUAAAGUUGGAAACUGAACUGCUGGAUGGAAAAACCAAGAUAAUAUUAUCUCUAUAUGAUGGGAAAUAAGAGCAAGAUUACAAAAUGUCCUUUAG